UACAGAGACUGCAAGCGUUAUUCGGAUUCACUGGGCGUAAAGGGUGCGCAGGCGGCCAAGUGUGUGAGGCGUGAAAGCCCGGGGCUUAACCCCGGAAUUGCACCUCAACCUACAUGGCUAGAGCAUUGGAGAGGGUAGCGGAAUUCACGGUGUAGCAGUGAAAUGCGUAGAUAUCGUGAGGAACACCAGAGGCGAAGGCGGCUACCUGGACAAUUGCUGACGCUCAGGCACGAAAGCGUGGGGAGCAAAAGGG
rnacentral:rRNA from 1 species